ensembl:misc_RNA Vault Vault RNA
GGGCUGGCUUUAGACCAGCAGUUCCUUCGAGUCUGGCUUCCCAACCGCCUGGUCGAUUAGUCCCAUGGUUCGAGACCUGCGGGCACUCUCAAGUCCUUUU